rnacentral:lncRNA from 1 species
AAUGUUUGUUGUUAGAUCUAUGAAUUUUGAUCAUAUUUUUUUGCUUCGUCGGACCAGGCUUCAUUCCCCUCAAAGAUUGCUGCCAUAUAUUAGUAUCGCGAUUAAGAUCUUUUUUGGUAUACAAAUAAGGUGAGGCCCAUGUUGAAUUUCUUUUUAGUUUUCUGUUUAUUUUAUUUGUUUAUCAGUUAUAAGUGCUAUAUUCAACAUUUGGGACAAAUUUGUACUUGUUUAUUAACCUAGUUUGGUAUGUCCGUUAUAUAUCUGCAGAUUGGUGUAAUGAUAAGGAUCUUGACUUUAGUCUUGAGUUCUGAUUCUCAUUUUCAUCAUUACAUCCUUUUUACAUACUCUUUGUUUCAUAACCUUAGGUUUCUUUUGUCAGUAAAUAAGACAUAUACACUGUUUUUCAUCAUUGUGUUAUGAUUGUAGUCAAGAUGGCUUUUUUUGGUCUCUUUCUGCAAAAUUUUCAGAUCUGUUUUCUGGCUUUCAACUUUGCUCAAAACCCUUUCUUCUUUUAAUUUUCUGCACAAAGGCGCGCACACACUCUCUCACUCUCUCUCUCUCUCUCUCUCACACACACGCACACCAGAUUGGGGUUUAUGUUAUCGAGAUGCUAUCUUUAUAACCUUUUUAUCUAACUUGUUUUACAGUGCAAUGUCUGAGUAUUUAUUUAGAUCUCACGGUACUAUUUUGAUAAUUUCAAGAUUUGUUGUAUUACCUAUAUGACCAUAAGUUUUUAUUUUAUUCCUCAAGUUUACAUUCUUUUACUGUAUGGCCAGACUAAUGAGUUUUGUUUGUGUACUGUUGGUGUAAAGUCUAUGUGCAUUGGCUUUAAGUUUAGGCUUGUUCUUAAACCUUAUGAAACAGACUCUCAUAUAAGUGGUGCAUUUUGCAGUUUUAUCGUCAACUUGAAGGCACAUGUAACAACUGAUUGCUCUAUUGGUUAAUCUUAUAUUCAUUCACAGUUAAUCCUUUACACUAUCAGUAAAAUUUUGCUUGUUUUUAAAAUGCUACUUGUCUUAUUUUGCAGGUUCUUAAUACCACUGACUAUGAGUAGCUUUAAAUACAAAAUAUAUUAUACUUUCAAUGCGAAGAAGUUAACCCUGAGAACACUACUUCUAGCGGUUGUAUAUGGAAAAGUAUUUGCUACUGCAUUUUUGUUGCUAUGGUGCAGUACUGUUGAGUAUUUAGUGAUUGUUAUUUUUUUGGUAUGCAAACAGGACU